AAUAAAAAAUAUUUGAUAUCAAUAUUAUUUAUUUCAUGAUGUAAUAAUAGUAGUUAAAUCUACAAUAUUUAAAUUAAAAAUAUUUUUAAUUAUUUUAUAACCUCAAUUUGAAAAGCAUUUUUUUAACCAAACACAUUAAACUACUUUUUCUUCAACCUCAAUUUCAACCACAGUUUUAACCAAACACCUAUUUUUUCAAACCAACCUCAACUAAAAGUACUUUUUAUAAAACAACUUUUUUCAAACCACAACCACAACAGCAACCGCAAUACCAAACAGGCUCUUAAU
rnacentral:lncRNA from 1 species